UGGGGAAUAUUGCACAAUGGAGGGAACUCUGAUGCAGCGACGCCGCGUGAACGAAGAAGGCUUUCGAGUCGUAAAGUUCUUUUAUAUGGGAAGAUAAUGACGGUACCAUAAGAAAAAGCCCCGGCUAACUACGUGCCAGCAGCCGCGGUAAUACGUAGGGGGCUAGCGUUGUCCGGAAUCACUGGGCGUAAAGGGUUCGCAGGCGGAAAUGCAAGUCAGGUGUAAAAGGCAGUAGCUUAACUACUGUAAGCAUUUGAAACUGCAUAUCUUGAGAAGAGUAGAGGUAAGUGGAAUUUUUAGUGUAGCGGUGAAAUGCGUAGAUAUUAAAAAGAAUACCAGUGGCGAAGGCGACUUACUGAGCUCAUUCUGACGCUGAGGAACGAAAGCGUGGGUAGCAAACAGG
rnacentral:rRNA from 1 species